GAUGAAGAACGCAGCGAAAUGCGAUAAGUAAUGUGAAUUGCAGAAUUCAGUGAAUCAUCGAAUCUUUGAACGCACAUUGCGCCCGCCAGUAUUCUGGCGGGCAUGCCUGUUCGAGCGUCAUUACAACCCUCAGGCCCCCGGGCCUGGCGUUGGGGAUCGGCAGAAGCCCCCUGUGGGCACACGCCGUCCCUCAAAUACAGUGGCGGUCCCGCCGCAGCUUCCAUUGCGUAGUAGCUAACACCUCGCAACUGGAGAGCGGCGCGGCCAUGCCGUAAAACACCCAACUUCUGAAUGUUGACCUCGAAUCAGGUAGGAAUACCCGCUGAACUUAAGCAUAUCAAUAGCGGAGGA
rnacentral:misc_RNA from 1 species